GCAUCAUAGAGGGUGAGAAUCCCGUCUUUGACAUGGACUACCUGUACAUUAUGGUGCGCUCUCGAAGAGUCGAGUUGUUUGGGAAUGCAGCUCAAAAUGGGUGGUAAAUGCCAUCUAAAGCUAAAUAUUGGCGAGAGACCGAUAGCGAACAAGUACCGUGAGGGAAAGAUGAAAAGAACUUUGGAAAGAGAGUUAAACAGUACGUGAAAUUGCUGAAAGGGAAACGCUUGAAGUCAGUCACGUUGGCUAGAAAUCAGCCUUGCUUUUGCCUGGUGUACUUUCUGGUCGACGGGUCAGCAUCAAUUUUGACCACUGGAUAAAGUCAUUGGGAAUGUGGCAUCUUAGGAUGUGUUAUAGCCCAUUGUCGCAUACGGUGGUUGGGAUUGAGGAACUCAGCACGCCGCAAGGCCGGGUUUCGACCACGUUCGUGCUUAGGAUGCUGGCAUAAUGGCUUUAAUCGACCCGUCUUGAAACACGGACCAAGGAGUCUAACAUGCCUGCGAGUGUUUGGGUGGAAAACCCGGACGCGUAAUGAAAGUGAAAGUUGAGAUCCCUGUCGUGGGGAGCAUCGACGCCCGGACCAGACCUUUUGUGACGGAUCCGCGGUAGAGCAUGUAUGUUGGGACCCGAAAGAUGGUGAACUAUGCCUGAAUAGGGUGAAGCCUGUGGAAACUCUGGUGGAGGCUCGUAGCGAUUCUGACGUGCAAAUCGAUCGUCAAAUUUGGGUAUAGGGGCGAAAGACUAAUCGAACCAUCUAGUAGCUGG
rnacentral:rRNA from 1 species